rnacentral:rRNA from 1 species
CCUACGGGUGGCAGCAGUGGGGGAUAUUGGACAAUGGGGGAAACCCUGAUCCAGCGAUGCCGCGUGAGGGAAGAAGGUUUUCGGAUUGUAAACCUCUGUGGAGGGGGACGAUAAUGACGGUACCCCUUUAGGAAGCCACGGCUAACUACGUGCCUGCAGCCGCGGUAAUACGUAGGGAGCAAGCGUUGUCCGGAUUUACUGGGUGUAAAGGGUGCGUAGGCGGUCUUGCAAGUCAGACGUGAAAACCACAGGCUCAACCUGUGGACUGCGUUUGAAACUGUGGGGCUUGAGUGAAGUAGAGGUAGGCGGAAUUCCCGGUGUAGCGGUGAAAUGCGUAGAGAUCGGGAGGAACACCAGUGGCGAAGGCGGCCUACUGGGCUUUAACUGACGCUGAGGCACGAAAGCAUGGGUAGCAAACAGGAUUAGAUACCCCAGUAGUC